CCUACGGGAGGCAGCAGUGGGGAAUAUUGCGCAAUGGGCGAAAGCCUGACGCAGCGACGCCGCGUGAGGGAUGAAGGUCUUCGGAUCGUAAACCUCUGUCAGCAGGGAAGAACGGUCACUGUGCUAAUCAGCAGUGAAUUGACGGUACCUGCAAAGGAAGCACCGGCUAACUCCGUGCCAGCAGCCGCGGUAAUACGGAGGGUGCGAGCGUUAAUCGGAAUUACUGGGCGUAAAGCGCUCGUAGGCGGUAUGUCAAGUCAAGGGUGAAAUCCCCGCGCUCAACGUGGGAACUGCCUUUGAAACGGGCAAACUGGAGUGUGUGAGAGGAUAGUGGAAUUACAGGUGUAGGAGUGAAAUGCGUAGAUAUCUGGAGGAACAUCAGUGGCGAAGGCGACUAUCUGGCACAUAACUGACGCUGAGGAGCGAAAGCGUGGGUAGCAAACAGGAUUAGAUACCCUUGUAGUC
rnacentral:rRNA from 1 species